UAAUACGUAGGGUGCAAGCGUUAAUCGGAAUUACUGGGCGUAAAGCGUGCGCAGGCGGUUUUGUAAGUCAGAUGUGAAAUCCCCGGGCUUAACCUGGGAACUGCGUUUGAAACUACAAGGCUAGAGUGUGGCAGAGGGGGGUGGAAUUCCACGUGUAGCAGUGAAAUGCGUAGAGAUGUGGAGGAACACCGAUGGCGAAGGCAGCCCCCUGGGUUAACACUGACGCUCAGGCACGAAAGCGUGGGGAGCAAACAGG
rnacentral:rRNA from 1 species